rnacentral:ncRNA from 2 species
GACCCAUCCAGAGCGGCCGAGAGAUCCGGAUCGACGACGCCGCAGCAACCCCCUCAUCCCUGUCCGGCAGGGUCGGGACGGUGCUACCGCCGGGACCGAUGGAAA